rnacentral:rRNA from 1 species
ACACGUCUACAUUAGAUACCCGCGUAGUCCCAGCCGUAAACUAUGCGCGUUAGGUGUAUCGGUGACCACGAGUUACCGAGGUGCCGAAGGGAAACCGUGAAACGUGCCGCCUGGGAAGUACGGUCGCAAGGCUGAAACUUAAAGGAAUUGGCGGGGAGCACCACAACGGGUGGAGCCUGCGGUUUAAUUGGACUCAACGCCGGGAAGCUCACCGGAUAAGACAGCGGAAUGAUUGCCGGGCUGAAGACUCUGCAUGACUAGCUG